rnacentral:lncRNA from 1 species
UUCAGCAUGUAUUAGUUUAUUUGAUGUAUAGUUCAAAUAUGUGUGGCUUAAAUGCAGAUUUGAUUUCAUUAUUUGCAUAUGAAUACUCUCUUCAGUUGAGCUUUUAGCAUGUAGUUAAGCUAUAAUACAUCCUGCAUACAGUUUUGAUCAUUGAGUGCAGGUCAUGUAUGUAUUACUUUAUGUUUCAUGUUCUGAAAAUCGCCUCGUGUGGUUGAAAGUUGCUGCAUGUGAUUAUGGAGUACUGGCAUUGCUCAAUGCUCGUUUUUCCAUAGUCCGACUCAUGCAAAUUUUGUUUUGACUCCGCUAUGAUUUAGGUCCAGAAAUUCUUACCAUCCCAUGUGCACACUUCAGGGUUAAUAUAUCCGAUUAUAUGACAUUCUUGUUGACUAAAAUAAUAUACAGUCGGUGGGAGAAUGUAAGACUUAUUGUGGAUUUAGUAUUGCUUAAGCUUCGUCUAACUUGUCAUACUCCAUUUGAAAAAAUAACCAAUUAAGAAAGUAUGGCAAGCUCUAUUCAACUAUCCUGAGAUUGGCUAGGAAUCAUAGUCAAUAAGGAAUGCAAACAUAUUUCUAUUGUAUCUGGUAGAACAUGGUUUAGGAAAGCUCCCCCUGGCAAUUCAGCCCAUGACCCGUUAACCGCCCGCUAAAAACCCAUUUAUUUUCGCCUGAUAACUUAACGUGUUAAUGGGCUGCCAACCCAUUAACAAUCCGUUAAUUAACGGGCGGAAACGGAAACGGCAGCCCGACGGAACCCAUAUAAUCCGACUAAAAAGAGAAAAAUGAGAGCUCUCUCAUUCACAUAAUCACACAACGUCACACUACUUUCGCAUUGCUCAGUCCCGAUCUCAUCGCUGCACUCUCCGGCACCUUCGCAGCCCAACUGCUCCGGCCUUUUCAUCUUUCCGAUCUCCGCCUCUGUCAUAUCUCUCAGGUUGCUGAGCAAUUCGAAAUGGGUUUUCUUGGAAACUAUUGAAGAAGCGUGGUUUGAUCUGGUUGCAAUAUUGGAAUCUGACUGUGAUGAAGAUUACCCAAGUGUUCAUGGUGACCAAGACCGAACUGAUUUAGAGCAACUCACUGAAGACGUGUUGGAUUUGACAUUGGACGGACAAAGCCACACCAACUAAAGACCUUUUUAGUUUCAUGUAAUGAUUUGCUUUGAAUUUGUAAUAUUUUAGUUUUACAUAACAUUGGAUUUAACCUAUUAUGAGAAUUAUGAGCCUAAUAUGUAUUAACUUUUG